rnacentral:rRNA from 1 species
UACGUAGGGGGCAAGCGUUGUCCGGAAUCAUUGGGCGUAAAGCGCGCGUAGGCGGCCCGGUAAGUCCGCUGUAAAAGUCCAGGGCUCAACCCUGGAAAGCCGGUGGAUACUGUCGGGCUCGAGUCCGGAAGAGGCGAGUGGAAUUCCUGGUGUAGCGGUGGAAUGCGCAGAUAUCAGGAGGAACACCGGUGGCGAAGGCGGAUCUCUGGGCCUUACCUGACGCUGAGGCGCGAAAGCUAGGGGAGCGAACAGG